AUGCACUGGGUCCGGCAGGCUCCCGGGAAGGGGCUGGACUGGGUGGCUCAAGUCAGCCAGCCAACUGGAUCCAAACAAUGGUAUUCCCCGGCUGUCCAAGGCCGAUUCACCAUUUCUCGAGACAACGCCGUGAACUCGGUUUAUCUGCAAAUGACCGGCCUGAAGCCCGAGGACACCGCCCGCUAUUACUGUGCGAGACACAGUGACACAAAACCUACUCGAGAUUCUACACAAACCCAGGCUGCACCCCCUGCCUUGAGCCGCCAGGGGGCAGCAGUGACCGUGCAGCGCUGGGCACUGCGUGUCUGGUCGCAGAUCAGCCUGGUGGAGUCCGGAGGGGGAGUCAAGAAGGCCGGAGAGACCCUCACCCUGACCUGCACCGUGUCCGGAUUCUCUCUCCUUAGCACCGAUAUUCACUGGAUUCGCCAGCCAGAGGGGAAAGGGCUGGAAUGGGUGGGAGUCAUAUGGUCUGGGGGACACACUGAGUAUAACGAUGUCCUCCAAAGCCGCGUCAGCAUCACCAGGGAGACCUCCAAAAGCCAAGUGUCCCUGCAGCUGAGCGGCCUGCAGCCCGCGGACACCGCCCUGUACCGCUGUGCCAGAUACUCACAGUGA